rnacentral:rRNA from 1 species
UACGUAGGGGGCGAGCGUUGUCCGGAAUUACUGGGCGUAAAGGGCGCGUAGGCGGCCUGUUAAGUUAGAUGUGAAAUCCCCGGGCUCAACUUGGGUGUUGCAUUUAAAACUGGCAGGCUUGAGUGCAGGAGAGGAAAGUGGAAUUCCUAGUGUAGCGGUGAAAUGCGUAGAUAUUAGGAGGAACACCAGUGGCGAAGGCGACUUUCUGGACUGUAACUGACGCUGAGGCGCGAGAGCGUGGGGAGCAAACAGGAUUAGAUACC